GAGCUGUUCGUGCACGCUCGGGCUCCCGGGCAGACCGCGCGUGCCAAAGGAGGGCGGUGGCGCCCCGCCAUGCAGCUCCCGGAGAACGCCACUACGCGCGGCCCCCCGGCCCUAGUGUCCAUUGUCCUCCCGGUGCACAAUGCCGAACAGUGGCUGGAGGAGUGCUUGACGUCUGUUUUACAGCAAGACUUUGACGGCACCACGGAGCUCUCGGUUUUUAAUGAUGCCAGCAAGGACAAGUCAAGAACCAUCAUUGAAAACUGGAAGGUGAAACUGGAGGAUUCCGGCAUCUCUGUCGUCAUCGGAGGCCAUGACUCUCCUUCUCCCAGAGGAGUUGGAUAUUCUAAAAACCAAGCGGUUGCACAGAGCACAGGGUCUUAUCUUUGCUUUUUGGAUUCAGAUGAUGUUAUGAUGCCCCAGAGAGUGAGGCUACAAUAUGAAGCUGCUGUUCAGCACCCAACGAGUAUUAUAGGAUGUCAAGUGAGGAGGGACCCGCCAGACUCCACAGAGCGAUACACACGUUGGAUCAACCAGUUGACUUCCGAUCAGCUGCUUACACAGGUGUUCACCUCCCACGGCCCCACAGUGAUCAUGCCUACCUGGUUCUGCUCUCGAGCCUGGUUUUCCCACGUGGGCCCAUUUGAUGAAGGAGGACAGGGGGUUCCAGAGGAUCUUCUAUUCUUUUAUGAGCACCUCAGGAAAGGGGGCGGCGUCUUCCGGGUGGACCAGCACCUGCUUCUCUACCGAUACCACCUGUGUGCAGCUACACACUCAGUCCUGGAAAUGACCAUCUGGACCCAUCGCGUCCACUUCCUAGAGGAGCAAGUCCUGCCUCACUGGAAGUCCUUCACCAUCUGGAAUGCAGGCAAGCAGGGGCGUAAGUUAUACCGCAGCCUGACCGCAGCCAGCCGGCGCAAGGUGGUGGCCUUCUGUGACGUUGAUGAGAACAAGAUCAGGAAGGGCUUCUACUGCCAUGAGGACUCUCAGGAAAGACCCAAGCCGAAAGUCCCCAUUCUGCAUUUCCAAGCUGCCCGGCCGCCCUUUGUCAUCUGUGUGAAGUUGGACCUCACAGGGGGGCAGUUUGAAGACAACCUGAAGUCACUGCACCUGCAGGAAGGCCAGGACUUUGUUCACUUCAGCUGAGACUGCCACCCAGGUGGGUCUACCCUGCAGCACCCCUGCAGGCUCUGAGCCCUGUUGUCUGCCUUGCUUCCCCUUCACAGACAACUUUGAUCCCUACAGACAGACUGAGCCUCAAAACAGGAAGAGAGCCCAAGAUAUCAACAGAUCGCAGCUUUCACAACUUAACAUGCAACCUCAGCACAAGGGCUUUAGAAACACAGCAAGGCCAAGACAGCACAGACAGCCAAGAAGGCCCCAGUGGGACAGGAGUCCAUGAAGGUGGCACAGGUGUCCUUGGAGGAAGACAGCCCCUAACAGGACGUACAUCCGGGCAGGGAAUGCUGAGGGAGCCAAAGCCGCCUUCCACACGGGGGAAGCUUCUUUCCCAGAAGACAGACGCUGAGACAGCACGGGGCCUCCAACAGCUGACUACCCAGCACCACACUGUGAAGACAGAACCUGCCCCCUCUGGAGAAACAGCACUCCCAGCUGGUCUGGAAAAGUUCACAGCCGAGAUGAAUACUGACCGUGGGACCCAGUUUACUUUAGACCAAAGCUCAGAGCAGAUGACACAGGUGCCAUAUGUCCUCAGAAUACUAGAGUAUUACCUUUGGAACGAGCUGAGGUCUGGGCACGCCAAGGAGGUCACACAGGUGAUUCCGUUGCCCUCUUACAACUGGAAGCUCUGCAUCCCUACAGAGGAAAGCAUUUGAGUGCCCCGUGGCACAUGGUUCAGCUCCCCCACCCCAUGAGAUCUGGUGAUGUUGGGGCAAAAAACCCUACCCCCAGUGUAGACACCAGGAAAACCUAGAAACCCUGUUUUAGGGGCUCACCCAGAAGAAAUUCUACCUCAGGCUAAAGCCUCUGCAGCUCUAGGUAUUCAGCCAUCGCUUGCUUUCAUUAGAAGACGUAAUGCGGCUGAGAGGUACUGCAAAUGGCUUCUUUUGUAUGUAAAGAAGUUAUAAGGGCAGCUCCUCUGUAAACCAGGUACUGUGCUCUGGAGGAGUAGAGUUCCCAGCGCCUCCAGGGGGCAACUCACAGCCAUCUGCAACCUCAGCUCCAGGGGAACCUGACACCCUUUUCUGGCCUCCAUAGGCAACUGCACUCACAGGCACACAAAGAAGUCCCUCUUCUCCCUGAUGUCCUUACUCAGGGUGAGUGUGCAGGUGGACACGUACAGAGAACACUGUGUUCACAAUAAAGAAACCUUGUAAAAAACGUGUUGGAAGCAAUGUCCACUGUCUCCCCAGAAGGCACUGAGUAGAGGUCCUACUGGCAGAAAAAGUGAGCUCUGAGCUUCCCGGUCACAGCUCUCAUCUAGGCAGGAAGGCCACGUCCUAGCAUGAGUUCCUAGGGAUGCCACUGUUCCGAGGGGCGGGCGUGAAUAACGCAAACCCUGACUUGCUGAAGCAACCCGGUCAGUCCCAGCACUCUCCCUCUAGCAGUCUGAGGGACAGUGUCCACAGGCAGUAGCAAUAACCUGGGCCACCUGCCUGUGCCUCUCAAAUAGUGUAUCUAGAACAGGGGACAGGCGACAGUUCUGUGGGUAUAUGCACAUACACAUGACUGUGUGUUUACAUCAGCAGCUUUAUGUAUGUCAUCUGCAAACCUGCAGAUAAAUGCGUACAGGACCAUGCAUGUGCAGUGCCUGGAUCACAGGUCAUAAGUUCUUGCUGUUGUGACCACAGCUGUUUCCUGGCCCAGCCUAGAACCUGUGACCCACACCAACGGGCUGUAUAUUCCCCCACCCACUCCUGCACCUCUUGACUUUGGAGACAAGUCUCUGAGGCUGUUAAAACGGAAGAGACCACCCAGGCCUUCAGUUGCUGACAUCCGCUUGGUGGCUUCUGCUGGCCUUACACUCCAGUUACUGAGGACCACCGCCUUCUGACAAGCAGAGGUGUUAACCACCCUAGCCACCUUGCUCACAAGAGGAGAAAAGCAAUUGCACAUUGAACGUUUUCCCGCCUGAAGCUCCCAGAGCGUGUCCUCAACCCUUUGUGAAGCUCUGAGGUGGCCCCGAGCUGCUGAGUGUUGGGGAGGUCUCCCCUCUCGGCAGAAGCGACGGGGCUCAGGCAGGCCCACUUACCAGGCUGUGUCGCUGAGCACAGACAUGGCCUCGUCAAGCACAGCAGGGUCUACCAAGUCACUGUAGGUCAGCACCAUCUCAUACACCUGGCUCGCUGUGGUCUUCCGGAUCUGCAGCAAGAUCAGCAGGUCAACAGGAGGAAACCCAUCACCACCUGGGGAGCCCCACGGGGGUCUUAGGAAGGUCCACGAAAGGAGGAAAAAGACUCGGCCCCAGCCCAGAUACUGCUGCCAUCACAGACAUGCGGCAGAGAGGAAGGACCUCGGCCUUUGUCAGAAGUGCAGUACGGACUCCUCCAAGGGAAUCUGUCUGUCUUGCUGUCUUUUUUUGGUUUAUGUCCUGUGACAAACUACUUUGUAUGAGGUCUGAUCUACCUCUAGUAAUGUACAUCUCUGGCAAACACGGUAAGCCAUGGGGUCAUCCCACUCUGUCUCAAAAACCCACUGUAAAGGUCCCUUACCCUUCUUGGGUGAAAGAGGAGAAUCCUGACCCUGGCCUGUUAGGAUUAUAAUUCUAAUACCCUACCCUCAGCAAUGCGUCUCCGUGCUCGCUCUACCCAGUGCCAGCACCCACAUUCCGUUCCUACCAACACCAGCCAGUUGAUGGCCGAAUCCCAGGGCUGCCUACGCCUGGAAACCAUACCCACAGGCACAUCAUCUCAGCCUGUUCAUUUCUAAACUGACGUACAGUCACUGUUAAAGGCCAUGCAGAUCUGGGUCCUAGGCAGAUGGCCUUGAGGUGGGGGCAGGCACACUCACCACGGGAAAAGGGUGGCCAAGGAGAAGGAACAGCUGCAGAAGAACCUUCUUUCUCACAUCACCGCUGAACUGCACCAUUCCACAGAGCCUACGGGAGACCCAAAAAGUAUACAGUAAACCUUGAGUCCUGUGCCAGUAUGUGUGCAUACCUCUAUAGCCACACGUGCGCUGUGCAUUAGUGUGCUCCCAUGUCAUCUACAGUCAUGUAUGCACAUGUGCUCACCUAUACAUGAGAUCGGGUGCUGGCAAGUGUGUGCCUGUGUGUCCAGACUCGAACACUCUCCUGUGUGCAUGUUUGUAUACCUCACAUGAUUGCUCGUACAUGACCAGUUUCCUGUGCCCGUGUGUACGUGCCCAUGUCCCAGAUCCCUACACUAGCAUAGGUGUGUCGGAGCCUAUGAUGGCCUUUGGGCAGCUACAGGGCCAGCAAGGCUCCUGAGCAAGUGACAAAUGGAGACCCAGCUUUCCUGUUCUGGUCCGUAGCCGCCACUGCUGAUGGUAACAGUCUGCCCUUUCCUUCUCUAAAUGAGCACUCCCACACUCCAUUUUUAAGCAGCUUUGUGAUUAAACUCUGUCUUCCACCAGGAA